UAUUACUUUGACUCUGAUCUGUCUGUCUGUGCUGUUAUUUCCAGUAGUUUUAAUCCUUAUCUACAAACGUAAGAACCGUCAUUAAUCUUUUGUUCAUCAAGAGAAAUACUUAAAUGCAUGCUUCUUUUCUUUUUUUUACCCACAAAUCCACAUCCGUGAACUUCCCUAUCUUGGACAGAUGACGGAAAUGGAACUGGCACAGCACCACAGCAUAACAGGGAGGACUGUACCUAUGAAAGGAUACAAGAGGAGCUCCGGAAGAUAGACUCAAAAAAUCUAGAAAACCCUUCUGAAUUGGCAGAAUACGCUACUGUUAACUUUCAAGGCUGCUUUGACACAGUUCAACCCAGCACCACCGCCUGUGAAUAUGCUACUGUGAAGUUUGGCAGAUAUCCAACCACCGGGUCCAUCAUUCAGCCACCCAGACCGACAGAGAAGCAUCUCAACUCAGCAAUCCUCAAACAACAGAAAAAAUUAAAAUAGAAGAAAAG